GCGUGAGUGAUGAAGGCCUUCGGGUUGUAAAGCUCUUUCGCCCGCGACGAUGAUGACGGUAGCGGGAGAAGAAGCCCCGGCUAACUUCGUGCCAGCAGCCGCGGUAAUACGAAGGGGGCGAGCGUUGUUCGGAAUUACUGGGCGUAAAGGGCGCGCAGGCGGCCCUGUCAGUCAGGCGUGAAAGCCCCGGGCUCAACCUGGGAAUGGCGCUUGGGACGGCGGGGCUGGAGAUCGGGAGAGGAGCGUGGAAUUCCCAGUGUAGAGGUGAAAUUCGU
rnacentral:rRNA from 1 species